AAUCAUUUCAGGACCUAUGGCAUGGAGUUUUACACCCCAUCACCAGUGUGCAUGAGUGGUUCCUGGGUUCCUGUCAUCAUGGCCCCCUGAAGGACAAUGACAAGUCGUUGAUUCCAAAGGGCUCUGUAGCACACAAGCAACUAUGUGAAUUCGUGCUGGAUUCACGGUGACUGAAGAUCAUAACAAAGUACCUGUCUUUGAGAAAAGGCAGACUCUACAGCAAGAGAACAAAGCUGUGGCGAUUGUACAAAGUUCCAAAAGGACUACAAAAACAUAUCGGACCAGCAGGCGAUCACACUUCGCACAAGGAUUUAUCUAAGGGAGGAAUGGCAAAAACCCUUUCAGACCUGAUGACCGUAGAAAGCUUGGGACUCUAGCUGGUGGACCAACCCCAACAAUACAAGAGCUAGAGCAGCAACAGGUCAGCAGAGGACUGAGUAAGUCGGUAUUAUGCAGAUGACUAGUAUAUUCUAUCAUUACAUUUCUUUUGACUGGGUAGACACUAUGAUAUAACAGCAAUAUUGUAAUUAGAAUGAUGUAUUGAAGAAAACAAUCCUUGGAAAUCAUAAAUUGUUGUUUUUUUCUUUCAAACAGGACAACUGUCAGAAUAGACGGGGAACCAGCUUCUGCCAUCAGACUCAUCAAAAUUAUAGCUGUACAGUAAUGUCAAAUGAAAAUAUUAGAAACUCAAAACACUGAAUAAACAGUUGUG
rnacentral:lncRNA from 1 species